GGGCCCGCACAAGCGGUGGAGCAUGUGGUUUAAUUCGAUGCAACGCGCAGAACCUUACCUGGGUUUGACAUCCUCGGAUCGAUACAGAGAUGUAUCCUCUUCUUCGGAAGUCGAGUGACAGGUGCUGCAUGGCUGUCGUCAGCUCGUGUCGUGAGAUGUUCGGUUAAGUCCGGCAACGAGCGCAACCCUUAUCCUUAGUUGCCAGCGAUUCGGUCGGGGACUCUAAGGAGACUGCCGGUGUCAAGCCGGAGGAAGGUGGGGAUGACGUCAAGUCCUCAUGGCCCUUAUGCCCAGGGCUACACACGUGCUACAAUGGCCGGUACAAAGAGCUGCGAAGCGGUGACGUGGAGCUAA
rnacentral:rRNA from 1 species